CACGUAGGAGGCGAGCGUUGUCCGGAAUCAUUGGGCGUAAAGAGCGCGCAGGCGGCUUGGCAAGUCGGGUGUGAAAUCCCGGGGCUCAACCCCGGGACUGCAUUCGAUACUGUCAGGCUAGAAGUAGGUAGGGGAGAUCGGAAUUCCUGGUGUAGCGGUGAAAUGCGCAGAUAUCAGGAGGAACACCGGUGGCGAAGGCGGAUCUCUGGGCCUUACCUGACGCUCAGGCGCGAAAGCUAGGGGAGCGAACAGG
rnacentral:rRNA from 1 species